GACGUAGGUGGCGAACGUUAUCCGGUUUUAUUGGGCGUAAAGGAUGCGUAGACGGUAAAACAAGUUACUAGUUGACGUCGAGCUCAACUUGAAUGAAAUUAGUAAUACUAUUUUGCUAGAGAAUGAAAGAAGUUGAUGGAAAAUCUACGAGGAGGGGGUGAAAUCCAUUGAUCUGUAGAGUACCACCAAAGGGCGAAGGCAAUUAACUAUUUUCAUUUUCUGACGUUGAGGCAUGAAAGCGUGGGGAGCAAACCGG
rnacentral:rRNA from 1 species